rnacentral:lncRNA from 1 species
UCUUGGAGGAGCGGCUCUGAAGCGAGGGUCUGCCACUGUCGGGAGCCUAGAGGGGAAGAAGCUGGCCUGGGCCAGGCCCCAGAAGUGGACGAGAGAGGGUCUGGACAUGCUGCGCCUACUGCCGGGGCCCCUUGGACGCAGCAACAGUUUGGUUCUAAGAGCCCGUCAGCUGGUCUGAGCCAGCUUCUGACAGUUGCAGCCAAGAAUCCUAAUUCAAACGCCCACGGCUCUGCCAGGCCGCCAAGAUGGGUUCCCAUAACCUGAGCUCCCUCUCCAAUUCAGACAGACUCUGGAGGGCUCCCCAGGGAACACAUGAUUGAGCCCACUUACCAAGCCGGCAGGCUUCUCUCUCCAGGAAGGCACCAAAUUUUCAUGGACCAGCUCACAAGCUGGAGCCUGGGGUGGCUCCACACCCCAAGCAGGCAGGCUCCUUCACACAGGAGGACACCCUGGCAAGGGGUGCCUGAGAGCAGGGCCCCACAGGCCUGGGUGCUGUUCUCUAUCACCUCAUCAGGAGCAGGACCGACUGCCAAGGCCGCCGUGGUAGGGAAGUUUCUCCACAAGAUUGUGCUUAUACGUUUUGCGUUGCCAUAAAAGAACGCCGGAGACUGGGCCGUUUAUAAAGAAGAGAGGUUUAUUUGGUCCACAGUUCUGCAGGCAGUACCGGAGGCAUGGCAGCAGCAUCUGCUUGGGGCCAUGCAGUUCCCACCCAGAUGGGAACGCAGAAGUGCUGAGAAGCCUCUGGCUGCUGAGAAGGACCGGAGACGCUCAGGCAGGGCUUCACUGAGGAGGGACAUCUUCAGCUGGGAACAACUCUUCCACACAGCAUCCAUGGUGUUUGUCUACACUCCAGUUUCUCUACUGUCAAAUAAUGUCCUGGUCUGGCCAAGAGGGCACUGUCUUCUCAUCAAGCUAUGAGGGUCCCAAGGAAGAGGAGCCCAGCCAGGGAAUGGGAGAAGGGGGAGGAGUCCA